GAUGAACGCUGGCGGCGUGCCUAAUACAUGCAAGUCGAGCGAACAGAUAAGGAGCUUGCUCCUUUGACGUUAGCGGCGGACGUGUGAGUAACACGUGGGUAACCUACCUAUAAGACUGGAAUAACUCCGGGAAACCGGGGCUAAUGCCGGAUAACAUUUAGAACCGCAUGGUUCUAAAGUGAAAGAUGGUUUUGCUAUCACUUAUAGAUGGACCCGCGCCGUAUUAGCUAGUUGGUAAGGUAACGGCUUACCAAGGCAACGAUACGUAGCCGACCUGAGAGGGUGAUCGGCCACACUGGAACUGAGACACGGUCCAGACUCCUACGGGAGGCAGCAGUAGGGAAUCUUCCGCAAUGGGCGAAAGCCUGACGGAGCAACGCCGCGUGAGUGAUGAAGGUCUUCGGAUCGUAAAACUCUGUUAUUAGGGAAGAACAAAUGUGUAAGUAACUGUGCACGUCUUGACGGUACCUAAUCAGAAAGCCACGGCUAACUACGUG
rnacentral:rRNA from 1 species